CAAGUGCGCGCGCAUUUGCAAUAUGUUUCAAUGUGCAUUUACCAUAUGAAAUUUGACAUGCUCAAAAAUGCAAAAUUGACUGGUCUGAUGGACACAGGAUGGCCGAGCAGUGAUAGUUGUACAUUUCCAUCACUCGUUGUGUUGAUUUCAUCAUGUCCAUUAGGUGAUGUUUUUUCACUAUAGAAUCAUAUUGCAAAUGCACGUGCAUUGUUGUGCAACUGGUAACCCAAAAAUAAAAAUAUGGUUGUAAAUGCAUUUACCGGUCAUUCUGAUAUUAAUGCUCGCUAUGGGAACACAGGAUGGCCGGGCAGUGAUAGUUGUACAUUUCCAUCACUCGUUGUGUUGAUUUCAUCAUGUCCAUUAGGUGAUGUUUUUUCACUAUAGAAUCAUAUUGCAAAUGCACGUGCAUUGUUGUGCAACUGGUAACCCAAAAAUAAAAAUAUGGUUGUAAAUGCAUUUACCGGUCAUUCUGAUAUUAAUGCUCGCUAUGGGAACACAGGAUGGCCGGGCAGUGAUAGUUGUACAUUUCCAUCACUCGUUGUGUUGAUUUCAUCAUGUCCAUUAGGUGAUGUUUUUUCACUAUAGAAUCAUAUUGCAAAUGCACGUGCAUUGUUGUGCAACUGGUAACCCAAAAAUAAAAAUAUGGUUGUAAAUGCAUUUACCGGUCAUUCUGAUAUUAAUGCUCGCUAUGGGAACACAGGAUGGCCGGGCAGUGAUAGUUGUACAUUUCCAUCACUCGUUGUGUUGAUUUCAUCAUGUCCAUUAGGUGAUGUUUUUUCACUAUAGAAUCAUAUUGCAAAUGCACGUGCAUUGUUGUGCAACUGGUAACCCAAAAAUAAAAAUAUGGUUGUAAAUGCAUUUACCGGUCAUUCUGAUAUUAAUGCUCGCUAUGGGAACACAGGAUGGCCGGGCAGUGAUAGUUGUACAUUUCCAUCACUCGUUGUGUUGAUUUCAUCAUGUCCAUUAGGUGAUGUUUUUACACUAUAGAAUCAUAUUGCAAGUGCGCGCGCAUUUGCAAUAUGUUUCAAUGUGCAUUUACCAUAUGAAAUUUGACAUGCUCAAAAAUGCAAAAUUGACUGGUCUGAUGGACACAGGAUGGCCGAGCAGUGAUAGUUGUACAUUUCCAU